UGUUGGUCACAACAAUAUUCC
rnacentral:siRNA from 1 species